rnacentral:piRNA from 1 species
UGGGAAAUCAAGGUAAAGGGAUGUCUGUG